rnacentral:rRNA from 1 species
CACCGCCCGUCACACCAUGGGAGUGGGGUUCACCAGAAGCAGGUUGCCUAACUGCAAGGAGGGCGCCUACCACGGUGAGCUUCAUGACUGGGGUG